rnacentral:lncRNA from 1 species
GAGCCGUCGAGCUCGUGCUGCUCGCAGCUCGCGACCGUCGUCCAGGCGGAGCCGCAGUGCCUCUGCCUGGUGCUCAACGGCAGCGCGUCCUCGAUCGGGAUCGCCGUCAACCAGACGCGCGCCCUCGGCCUCCCCGCCGCCUGCAAGGUCCAGACCCCGCCCCUCAGCAAGUGCAGCAGUAAGAACACCCCCGGGAACACUUUGAAUUGAAGUUGUCUGCGUAGUCCCUCUGCUAUCCUGAUAUUGCACUUCGAACCAUGAACUUUUCCGCAAUAUCUGGAUCAUUUUAGGGACUAUGCAUACAUUUUACCCCUUCAAUUGCUCAAACUACUAAUGUUAAAUGCAAUUUUUUUUUAAAAAAAAAAGGAAAUUCUUAUUAAAUUUUGCUAUGAAAUCUUUAACAGCAAAUGGUGCACCCACUGCUGCUCCAACCACACCAUCCACAACCACCCCAUCAACGCAAAAUGCUCCUGCAGUAAACUCUCCACCAGGUAAGAGAAUUUACUAAAUAUUAAUGAAUUAAUUACUAAUUAGAGGAUAAAUGAGGGAUUAAAUCCAAACUAUUCCCCCUUUUUCUACCCAAAAAAAGAAAAGAGAAAAAAGCUUAGGGAUGGUUAGUCUGGUCAAAAAUCUGAUUUUUCUCUCAGUUGGCCUGGAAUUUUUAAAAGAUACAACCAAGAGAAUAAGAAUAGUAAUCCUAUUUGACCUUCUCAUGGAAAAAGCUUGUCCUAAAAGUUAACAUCAGACAAGAAAACUCAGAUAUUCCAACAACAAAAAAAUCUAGAAGCAUUUGCACUAAAAUCCCUCAAGAGCUUCUCUCUACAGCAGAAUCAGAAACUACAUAUUACAGCUACUAGUUUUUGGAGUUCAAUAUCUAGUUUCAGCUUUUCACUAGAACAGCAUCUAUAGACUUUUCUAGCUGCAAAACAACUACAGUUAAAAGUAGAAACAGAAGUGCAACGAAAGAGGAAUUUACGAACAUUGAACCUCGGUGCAGGUGAAGGUGGAUCGAAGACAGUGCCGACGUCAGCCGGAAUUGCUCUUCAAACCCCGGCCCCUUUCAUCUUCUCCCUUCUCUUUGCUGCGGCAUUCGCCUCCUCGGCCUUUUAGACCUGCUUCUUGUU